rnacentral:sRNA from 1 species
ACUCAACAAGAAUUAUUUUAAAAAGGGUGAGUUUAAGUUGUAAAAGCAAGCCGUGCUGAUUUUUCAGUUUCACGGAUCCUUGAUCAGCUUGUUAGCCCUAAACCUGUUUUUACAGAGUUU